rnacentral:rRNA from 1 species
GAUGAACGCUGGCGGCGUGCCUAAUACAUGCGAGUCGAGCGAACAGACGAGGAGCUUGCUCCUCUGAUGUUAGCGGCGGACGGGUGAGUAACACGUGGAUAACCUACCUAUAAGACUGGGAUAACUUCGGGAAACCGGAGCUAAUACCGGAUAAUAUAUUGAACCGCAUGGUUCAAAAGUGAAAGACGGUUUUGCUGUCACUUAUAGAUGGAUCCGCGCUGCAUUAGCUAGUUGGUAAGGUAACGGCUUACCAAGGCAACGAUGCAUAGCCGACCUGAGAGGGUGAUCGGCCACACUGGAACUGAGACACGGUCCAGACUCCUACGGGAGGCAGCAGUAGGGAAUCUUCCGCAAUGGGCGAAAGCCUGACGGAGCAACGCCGCGUGAGUGAUGAAGGUCUUCGGAUCGUAAAACUCUGUUAUUAGGGAAGAACAUAUGUGUAAGUAACUGUGCACGUCUUGACGGUACCUAAUCAGAAAGCCACGGCUAACUACGUG